rnacentral:lncRNA from 1 species
GGAGACCCUGUUGAUAAGGUAAUUAAAAUCUGCACACAAUGCAUUGCAGAAACGGAACUGCAAUGCUGUGUCCGUUUCCUGCAAUGCAGUUUGCAUUUUAUCCAAUGCAGUUUCUGAAUCAUUCUGAUUGUACAUGGUAUUUUGAAAACAUAUAAAAAGAGAAAAACUACCAGAGAAGAAGGAGACCCUCUUGACAAGGUAAUUAGAAUCUCUAAACACUGAAUUAUGCAUUGCAGUUUCCGUUUCCUGUAAUGUAGUUUUUGUUUUAUCCAAUGCAGUUUCUAAUUAGUUUCU